CAGCAAUAAUGGAUUCUGUAUAUCUAGUUACAGUUCACUAUAGAGCAUUACUGCUGAAGAUUGCUAAAAUUUUCUAAAUCAUUGGCCUGAAGUGCAACAAUUUUCAUGAACUUGGAUGAGUGCUGUUUCUUCUCUUCUCUUGAUCUGGCAGGCGUAUUUUAAUUCUCAAAAACGGGGAGUGGAUGCAAGAAUCCUUUCUUCUCAAAAGUGAACUAAAGGAACAAGUGGAAACAGAGGUCUACUGGGAACACAGGAGCUCCUAGAAAUCCAUAGAUACCAAAUUAUGUCCAAGGAAUACAACUACAAUUCAGUCUUGCUAGUCUUGCUUAUCUCGUAUCAUUCAAAACCAACUUUUUUCCCCCCCAUGAGUUAAUUGAUCCAAAAUUCAGGAUGAGACAAACCCACUAGGUCUUUUCAGAAUAAGAAAGAAUUUACUCAGACAGUGCUCACAAAAGUGAACAAGGUGAAUUGCACCUAUUGCUGCAUUCCAGUGAACAUAAGAAAAUAAACUAAAUAAAUGGAAGUAAUGCCCAGCAGUAAGUAAACCAGAGCAGACUUAGGAGUUCCUGGAAGGACUGGAUAAGCUUUACAAGCUUUUGCUCCCACCCAUCCACAAGAGGAAUGAUGGAAUUUCUACACCUUCAAAUGCAAAAUUAGGAAGAGAGAGUUUGAAAUUGUAAGAGGCAAUAGUAGAAGGGCAGUAAGAAGGCACUAACCUAAGGCUCUAAUUUAAGAUGAAAGAGAAAAACC